rnacentral:lncRNA from 1 species
AAAGAAACAAGCACUAAUGUUUGCAUUUAACUAAGAGUUGUUCAAAGCAACUCUUAUUUCUUCAUACAACAAUUUGUAAGUGAAGAAUCAUGGCAUAUAAAGUGUCCAUGCCAUUGUGCUUUCUUCUCAAGUUCUUUGUUCAUUUAACAAAGAAACAAGCACUAGUGUUUGCAUUGACUAAGGGUUGUUCAAAGCAACUCUUAUUUCUUCAUACAACAAUUUGUAAGUGAAGAAUCAUGGCAUAUAAAGUGUCCAUGAUUGUGCUUCUUCUCAAGUUCUUUGUUCAAUUUAACAAAGAAAACACUAGUGUUGCAUUGACUAAGGGUUCUUCAAAGCAACUCUUAUUUCUUCAUACAACAAUUUGUAAUUGAAGAAUUAUGACAUUAAAAGUGUUGUCCUCUUUAUGAUAGACUUUUUCUAACAUAUUCUUCUAAUGAUACUGUUGGUUAUUUUAAAUAUUUUAAUAAUAUUUUAUUUUAAAGAUUCAAAACUUAUUAUUUAUUUUAUUUUAAUUAUUUAUAAUAUUUAAGAGUUGUGUUUUAUUUGAAGAGUCAUAUUCCUUUUAAAAGGGUGUGAGAAGUUCUUUAAAUAAGAAACCUCAUACAUAAAACAUAUACGCUUAAAAACUUUUCUGUCUCCCUCAAUUCUCACAUCUCUGUCAUUCUAUUUACAUUCCUACUUCAUAAUUCUUGGGCAAUUGAUCACUACUUGACAAUUCCGUCUGCCGUUGACGUGCAUAUCGGAUCAGACAUCCUGUGAGGCUUUGGGUUGUAUCUUGGAGUUGUAGGCACCGCCAUAACCUGCACGUAGGGAGGCGUCUACGGCUUUAGGGCAGCGACAUCGCACCUCUCUUUGGUUCACAGGCCAGAUUUUCUUAUUCCUUUUUUCUCAAUUUAAAUUUCAUAAGUUUGAUAGUGAUUAUACAUUUGAUUUGAUAUAUUUGAUCAUAUAAAUAAUUGGUAUAUUUCUGCAAUAUAUUUCACAAUCUAAAGCCGUAUUAGUGUGAUAAUAUAAUUGCAAAUUUUACAAUCUAUUUUUACAGUACCUUGAAAGCCAUAUUGAAAGUGGGAUUUUAGGGUUAUGUUGUUCAUCGUUGCUUUAUUGACUCUCUGCACAUAGGAAGGUUAACCUUGCCUUAGUUUGAAUCCUUUAUUCUCUGCAUCUUUGAAUAUUUUAGGAUAUUAUAAAUUUUUUUUUAAUUAUUAUUUUAUUCGGUAGAUAUUAGGAUUCCGUAUAUUAUUCCCUACAUCGUUGAAUUGUCUGGGUAUUAUAGCAUAUUGCUUAUCUGUCUUUUACUCCCUGGGAUUGAUCCUAUAUAGUAUAAGUAGAAUUAAUUCUUAAAAGGGACGGGGUGCCACGAGAGGUGAGGACACCAAGUAACCGCAAGAUACCUGGGCAAAACCCUAAGAGAGAAUAAACAACGGGAGUCGGAAGCACCACCUUCGAACCAACGGAUAAAGACCCUCACUGGUUUAUCCGAAUAAUUAGGGCAUGGUUCAGUUUAGUUUGUGUUUUUGAUAUCUUAAUUAAGUCUUCUAGUUAACUGUUUACUAUUUUCGUAUAAUUGCAUAUUGAUAUAUAACUUGCCCAGUGGUAGUCAAAACUGUUUGUUGUGUUUAAUUUUGUUAUGUUUAAUUCGUAAUUGCAUAUUGAUCUACUACUUGCCCAGUGGUAAACUGGUAAUUGAAUCUGUUUAUCAUAUUUGAUUUGUAACUGAACAUUGAUAUAUUAUUUGCUCUAAGGUGCUUUUAUCAAAUCUGUUUGUAGUUACUACUAUUAAUUGAUCUAAGGAUAUUAUACAAUAGUAUAGUUCAUACUAUAUGUGUUGAAACCUUUGAGUGACAAACUUGAUUUAAUUUCUACAGUGUUGUAGCAUUCUUAUUUCUCUCUCACUUAUUACUAGUCAAUAUUACAUAAAAAAUGGCAAGCCUAGAAGAAGCCAAUAGUGUUAAGCCUGAAAAAUUUAGUGGCCAUAAUUUCCGUAGGUGGAAAAAACAAGUGAAAUAUUGGUUAACUGUCUUAGGACUUGUAUCCGCACUUGAAGAAUCUCAAUCACACAAGGAUUCCUCUUCUAAAGAGUCAUCUUCUAAACUAACCCCUGAACUCAUAGAAUACCAUUGUCACAAUAGAAUCUUAAGUGCCCUUUUCUGAUCAUCUCUAUGAUGUUUAUCAUGCUACUACAUCCACCGCCAAAGAACUUUGGGAAACUUUAGAAGCGGAAUAUGGAAUUGUAGAUGCUGGGAUGGAUAGGUUCACAGUCUCAAACUUUAAUGAUUAUAAGAUGGUAAAUAAUAAGUCUGUGGGGGAACAAAUACAUGAGUAUCAAGAGCUAUUAAGAGGAGUUGAAAAGAGAAAGGAACGAAGUUUAGUGAGGACUUUAAAGUCUCCUGCCUUAUUGAUAAAUUGCCUCAAUCUGGGAAUGACUUUGCUAGAACCUUAAGGCAUAAACAAGGAGAAUUUACUUUGGUUCAAGUCAUAAAUUCAAUUAGGAUCGAAGAGAAGCAUAGGUCAAGCCAAAAGAAGGAAACCGAAAGACAAACAACUGUGAACUUAGUUGAGAAUGACAUCAACAAAUAUGGAAAAAACAAAACCAAGUUCACCAUAAAUAAUAAGAGGAAUUUCAAACCUAGAAGAACAAAUUUUAAAUUCAAAUCACCCAACCAAAAUAAGAACUUUCACAAGACUAAGGAUCAAGGGAGAGAGAAGGGGGUUUGCUUCGUUUGCGGAAGAACCAAUCAUAAGGCUAAGGAUUGCUUCUACAAGAAGACUGAGGAGAACAAGUAUAAGUCAAAUCAUAAUGGUCCAAAAGCCCAAGUGAAUACGCUGAUGGAGCAACAAUCUUCUCAAAUACAUUUUAAGUAUGAUUCCUUUGUCAAUUUUACUUAUGAAAAUAAGGAUUGGUGGGUAGAUUCUGGAGCUAACGUACAUGUCUGUUUUGA